GAUGAACGCUGGCGGCGUGCCUAACACAUGCAAGUCGAACGAAGCUUGACGGAUGAUCUCUUCGGAAUGAAACCAGAUAUGACUUAGUGGCGGACGGGUGAGUAACACGUGAGCAACCUGCCUUUCAGAGGGGGAUAACGGCUGGAAACGGUCGCUAAUACCGCAUGAUGUGUUCGGAUGGCAUCAUCUGAACAUCAAAGAUUUAUCGCUGAAAGAUGGGCUCGCGUCUGAUUAGAUAGUUGGUGGGGUAACGGCCUACCAAGUCUACGAUCAGUAGCCGGACUGAGAGGUUGAACGGCCACAUUGGGACUGAGAUACGGCCCAGACUCCUACGGGAGGCAGCAGUGGGGAAUAGUGCACAAUGGGGGAAACCCUGAUGCAGCAACGCCGCGUGAAGGAUGACGGUUUUCGGAUUGUAAACUUCUUUUCUUAGUGACGAAGACAGUGACGGUAGCUAAGGAAUAAGCAUCGGCUAACUACGUG
rnacentral:rRNA from 1 species